UUUUAAUAGAAGGCACUGCGCGAACUUCAGAAUACAUUAAAAUACGCAACCAACCGUCAUUGAACCGUCCAAUCAGAUCAAAGGAGUAAUCGUUGUAGAUCGUGCGUUAUCGAUGAUGUUCGGUACCUGGAGAAAAUUGACAAUUGACAAGAGAAUUAAUUGUUUAUUAUUUAUUAUUUUUGACUUUUUAGUUCGUUUAAUUUAAUAAUUACUAAAACCAGUAGUUCGAAAGAUAUAUUUAAAAAUAAAAGAUAAAAUUCCAAAAAAUUAAUUAUCUAUUAACGUGGAUUUGGACGACAAUAGGUUUUUAGUUUGUGAUGUUUCAUGUGAUGAUCAUCAUGUUCAUCGUCUUUGAAUUGACAUGAGGAUAUCUAUGGAAAAGUAACUAAUCUGAAAGUAAGCCAACAUAUCGUUUGUCCAUUGUGUGCUAACGAAAAGAUUUUCUUUUCGCAUCAUGAGGAAGUAUUACAUCAAUU